rnacentral:rRNA from 1 species
CUAUUAUGGAGAGUUUGAUCCUGGCUCAGGACGAACGCUGGCGGCGUGCCUAAUACAUGCAAGUCGAGCGGACUUAUCCUUCGGGAUAAAUUAGC